rnacentral:lncRNA from 1 species
CUGGGUGGCAUUUCUAAGCACUAUGUCAGGUACCCAGGUGAAAUGCAAUAAUACUGGAGAAAUUGUGUGUUCUUUAUUUGCACAUGGGCAUGAGGCUAAAUGUCUUCCACCUGUUUGGAAAUUAAUUUGAAGCUGUGAGCUCUGCUUUGAAGUCUGAGCACAUUUAGUUGCUCUGUCCUCGACAUAGAGGUCGAGGCUGACAACUCGUCUUUGCUUUACUUGGGUCUAUUUGAAGAAGUGCUGCAGACCUUCGAGGGCUGAGUACUGUGCGGUCUGUCCUCCCGCUUCCAGGAGGGUGAGGAUCGGCCUUCUUGCCUGAGGGCUGCUCACAGGAUGAGGUGGUGGGGCUGUCCCACUGUACCUGUUAUGUGUGACACACGGUGUAUUCUGUAUAUUCUGCCGCAGGUUACCAAGUUAAGCUUAUUGCUUUUACGGUGCUGCGUAGCAAGUCAUCCUAAACUCAAGCUUGAAGGGCCCUCUACUGUCCUACAGUUUCUGUGGCUCAGGAGUCUGCCUGGGCGGCUCUCUCUGCACUGGUCUCAGGUUUCAUGUUCUGGGUGGUGUGACUCACUGCUAAUGGAAAACACAGAUACCAUCCUGGAAUCCGAGCUGUGUAAGGUCCCUGACCCCACCCCGCUUGCCUACCUGCCUGGCCCAGAGGAUGCUGGCUGAGAUGGGAGCGCAGAAGAACUUGCUACCGAAAGAACAAAGACCCAGGGCCCCAAAGGGUCUGGAUGCAGGGCCAGCCCUUUCUGUUUAUGGGCACUGUUGUAAGUCCCCGCGGCAGGUGGUGUUGUGCCCAGAUUGUGAAGUCCCAAAGACCACCAGGAGGCCGUUUCCGACGUAAGCACACAAGGGUCGUUUAUUCAAGCUUAAGCAGGGACUCUCAACUGUCACCGACACAGCGGAUCGAGAUUGAGAGCCCUGUGUCCCUAACUAGCAGGGUUUUUAUUGAGAAUACAACAAGCUUUGGUUAUUAGUAGCCAGGUGAUUGGUUAAUACUCAAUACAUAUGAAGUGUAGGGUUUUGAUUGGUUAGGCUUAGGGGGGGUUAAGGGGGUUACGUAUAGAUUUUUGUAAGGGAGAAGGGGGCAAAGGUUAGUGGUCGACUGUCAUAAGCUGAUGGUUAGCAGAUCCACUGACUAAUGGUCACAUCUAUCUUUUGUGGGCAGUUAGCCAUUAACUG